UUACCGGAGCCUGUCUGAACACACUCACUCAUCCCAGACGGCAGCUAGCAGCUAAGAGGUUCCAUUUCCGGACUCAAAUCCUCCGGAGCUCGGUCUAACGAUCCACUUCUUUGGUGACACUGGUGGAGGAGUUGAGCUGACCGAACCUCCCUGAGUUCCAGUGAAAACACCCUUCAUUAAGAGUAGUAAUAUUUGACAGUGUUGUUGUGUGAAAUAUACAAAUAUACUACUAAUAAUGUUACCGUGUUGCCUAAUGUGUGUGCGACUUUAUUAGAUGUCUGUUGAUGUAUUGCAUGCAAGUUCGGAAUUAUGCAUCACAAAGUUUGGAUUGUAUGAUACAUGCAGUAGCUGUAAUAUAUUCAUUUUGUACUUAUUAACUAGCUGAGUUGCUAACGCUGUAUCCUACAUAAACAUUUAAGGAAACUGCGGGGAACCUUUGGGAUUUCUUUUACUACAUGAGUAGAUUUUGUCCCACAACAUAUUGGAAAUAAAACAUGAAACGUUACCUUUACUAUUUCUACAGUUCCAUUUCCAGAGUCAAAUCCUCCAGAGCUCUGGCUAAGGAUCCACUUCUUUGGUGACACUGGUGGAGGAGUUGAGCUGACCGAACCUCCCUGAGUUCCAGUGAAAACACCCUUCAUUAAGAUUCCAUUUCCAGAGUCAAAUCCUCCAGAGCUCUGGCUAAGGAUCCACUUCUUUGGUGACACUGGUGGAGGAGUUGAGCUGACCG